rnacentral:rRNA from 1 species
UACGUAGGGGGCAAGCGUUGUCCGGAUUUAUUGGGCGUAAAGAGCGUGUAGGCGGCCAGACAGGUCAGCUGUGAAAACUCGAGGCUCAACCUCGAGACGUCGGUUGAAACCGUCUGGCUAGAGUCCGGAAGAGGAGAGUGGAAUUCCCGGUGUAGCGGUAAAAUGCGCAGAUAUCGGGAAGAACACCCGUGGCGAAGGCGGCUCUCUGGGACGGUACUGACGCUGAGACGCGAAAGCGUGGGGAGCGAACAGG